rnacentral:rRNA from 1 species
UACGUAGGCAGCAAGCGUUGUUCGGAUUCAUUGGGCGUAAAGGGUGCGUAGGCGGCGCCGUAAGUCUGGUGUGAAAUCCCGGAGCUUAACUCCGGAACUGCACUGGAUACUGCGGUGCUUGAGGACUGGAGAGGAGAUUGGAAUUCACGGUGUAGCAGUGAAAUGCGUAGAUAUCGUGAGGAAGACCAGUGGCGAAGGCGGAUCUCUGGACAGUUCCUGACGCUGAGGCACGAAGGCCAGGGGAGCAAACGGG